UGCUGAUUGGCCCAGCCGCUGGAAGACCAGCUCGCGCCGGCGGGAGGACUCCAGAUUCUGUCACCUAGGGCCUCUCUCGCUCCGCCCCGUCGGCCUUCCAUUGGUUGCAGGAUCUCUUACGUAAGGAGCACGAGGAGAAGGCGGAGCCUCGAUGAUUGUUUUUUGCCCAGGAGACCGAUUUUGCGCAGGCAGUGGCGGCCGUGGGCGGCGAGCUCUAUCAGGUAGGCGUAGUCGUUUGCGGGCUGCCUUGGGAACCAGCCGCGGCCCCGCCUUCUGGCUCCGCCUCCUCUCGGGUGGCGGGAAGUGCUGUCCUCAGAGACCAAUGGUUCAUGGCAGGAAGGUCCUGCGCGCAGGUCUCCAGCAGGAGGAAACAUAGGCGAAGGAAGUGAGUGAAGUAAAGCGUGAGCUGAAACUGCAUGCUGCAGGAGCUUUAUACAGUUGCAGUUUCUUCAGAGAACCUGAGUGCGCAGCAGCACUUACUCAGAUCAGCAACAAGCAGUUCUCAUUCUGAGUGCCCUAGUGCAUAGUUCUUCGUGGACUUUGGCUUUGUCCUGUGAGAGAGAUAAAAACGAAUAGUUUUAUCUUUAUCUUGGUCACAUCUCAAACUGGCUUUGGAGUAUAUGGCCUCUUUUUGAGGCCGAGUGAUUUGAUGAGCAUGCUUCUUUUUGCAUGGAAUAGUGUGAGUCUAAAUUACAAUUUGUGUUUAUGUAUGGAUAGUAUGGGUCUAAGCUACAAUUUGUGUUUGUGUAAUGCCUAUCUUUGCUGGAACUCCCCAGAAUCUCUCUCUCUCUGCAUACAUUGUCAAAUACAACCUAUAGCAGUUACUAUUCAGUAUGCGUCUUCUGUUUCCAAUCCCUUUCUCUUAGUGCUUUGAAACAAGCUCAUUAGGUGCAAGAAUCUUGGCACACACCCAUUGUAGAUUCAUUGGCUACAUAUGAUCUUCAGAUUACUGUAGCCACAGCUUUGUCAACUUGGUGUGGCUCAUUCAUUGAUGUCAGUGUCUGAUAAGCCUGUUCUCAUGAAGCCCUGACCAGUUUUGAGCUCUGCUUGAUCUCCUAGCCAGUGCUUCAGAGUUUUUGUUAAGGCAGCUGCUCAUUUGUAGCUUGUGUACCAACGGACACAGGCAGCUUUAUGCUGCAGAAGUAGCCCCUCAAAUCUUGACGGCUUAAAGUUUUACAAUUCUUCCUUAAGCUCAUGACACAUUAGCUAGGGUUGUCUGUGUGGUGUUCACAUCAACAAGAUAGCUACCAUUUUGAGCAUUUCUGGUGGCUUUGAUAGGAGGAAACAAAGUAUGCCUGCCACAUACUAGCUGUUGAAAUUGUUGCCUGAUAUUCCUCUUUCCCUUAACUCCCUUCUGCACAGUGAAAUCACAUGGUGUCACAAAAAACUUCAGCAGAGAUAGAAUUCGGAAGCUCAUUGAAACCUGCUUUAUACCUGUGAAGAGGCAGGAACCAAGGAUCUACAGCACCCAAGGAGCCAAGUCACAUUUCUCCCGUGGCUCUCAUCAAUUUGUGUAGGUGUGUAGAUUUUUGAAGUCCAAAGCACUGCUUUUUGGUGCCUAUUCUAGUUGCUGGGGCUGGAGGAGGUUAUCACUAAAUAUCUUCCAUAUCUUUGUUUUCACUCUGUGACUGGAGGCAGGACUGCCACUACAUAUCCUCCAAAUCUUUGUUUUUACUUUGUGAUUGCUGGUAGUCUUUCCCACCCACAUUCUCCAUCCUUUAGUUUAAAGGUCCUUGAGUAAGGAGAGCAAGACUCUGAGCAAAUGCUUUUUAUUUCCCACAGGUGGGUUUGUCCAUUUUAUUUUUUUGUGGCUGGAUAGGGUUGAUUAGAUUAAUAAUAGAAGCUGUGGAAAUUUAUUUACAUGCAAAAAAAAGAAAGGUGAAAGAUUGUAAGACCUGAAGACAGAGAAGAGUGUAAAUAAUAACUUUUAAAAUAAAAGGAGAUGAUUUAUUUAAGGAAGCGAUGCG
rnacentral:lncRNA from 1 species